AACGAACGCUGGCGGCAGGCCUAACACAUGCAAGUCGAGCGCCCCGCCAGGGGAGCGGCGGACGGGUGAGUAACGCGUGGGAACGUACCCUUUGCUACGGAAUAGCCUCGGGAAACUGGGAGUAAUACCGUAUGUGUCCUUCGGGAGAAAGAUUUAUCGGCAAGGGAUCGGCCCGCGUUGGAUUAGGUAGUUGGUGGGGUAAUGGCCUACCAAGCCGACGAUCCAUAGCUGGUUUGAGAGGAUGAUCAGCCACACUGGGACUGAGACACGGCCCAGACUCCUACGGGAGGCAGCAGUGGGGAAUCUUAGACAAUGGGCGCAAGCCUGAUCGAGCCAUGCCGCGUGAGCGAUGAAGGCCUUAGGGUUGUAAAGCUCUUUCAGGGGGGAAGAUAAUGACUGUACCCCCAGAAGAAGCCCCGGCUAACUCCGUG
rnacentral:rRNA from 1 species